UGAGAGCGGAGCGGAGGAGCGCGGCAUGUCCGCGGGACGCGCGGCUCACACGGGGAGGGCAUGGGGACGCCAGCAGCAUGGUUCAAGGACAGAACGGGACUGACGUCACCAAACGACGACGCAGCAGCAGGACAGUAGUUAUCGAGUGAAACAGAGGAGAAACAGAGGAGUCUUCCUGCCACGGAUCCGGAGAGCAGGGCAGCGCAGACAGCGACAGGAGAGGGUAUUAACCUUUCUCCCGCUGAGAGCCAGGAAGUGGGUGGUGACGGCACACGGAGAGGAGAUGGAACCGAGCGGGAAGGAGGGUGAAGCCGGAGUUGCAGCUGUAGUAGAGGACCGUCCCCUCCGCCGGGGGCCCCGGGGGCCGCGCCGUCACCCUGCCGUUCUCCAGGGACGUCCACACCUUGGGGCACUGCAGCACUGAGGGGGAGCAGAGCAGAAGGCCGGAGAUAUGAAUCCAGACCUGCAGCCGCCUGACCCUGGAUGGGUCAAACAGCAGCUUUCACACACCUGUGCAGCAAAGCUGAUUCAGAUGACCCAGCUUUUCACCAGCACUUAAACGCAGCACUGCGACAGCAUGAAGAAAACCUCCAAACCUGGAGACUUAAACGCACCACAGAAACAACCUCAGCAGGAGAUACAGAGAAACCAGGAAGUAACGACAAGGAGAGGAGACGAGCCAAACCUGAGGAUGAGGAGCUUAAACACUGGGAGGCUGGUAGUGGGAACACUGGACCCGGGCUGAUGAGCUAACUGACUGCAGGUGCCUCGGUAGCGGAUCCCUCCGUCCCGCGGAGGCCGGAUGAUGGCACAGCCUGCACAGGAAGAGACAGGAUGAAGGACAGGAAGAGGACAGGAGGACAGCAGGGGACAUCUGUCUUCAGGUCCCGGAGGAGUCCUGGAGGAAGUUCAUCCGUCAUAAGGAUCAUGAUCCCUCAGUCGCACAGGAGCAGCUAAAGCAAAGGAGCUGGAGGAGCAGAACUGACACCUGAUGAUGAUGAUGAUGAUGAUGAUGAUGAUGAUGAUGAUGAUGAUGAUGAUGAUGAUGAUGAUGAUGAUGAUGAUGAUGAUGAUGGAAUAUCGUCUCUGCAGCCCGAAUGUUGAGCUGUUAGCAACAUGCUAGCAGUCUUCAGUCAGAGGCUUCUUUAGACUGGUUACGAGACUGACUGCUACUGGAGAUUCUUCCUCCCCACAGCAUCAGGAGCCACAUGAUGAUUGGAGUUAUGAUAAUAUCUAACUUCCGUUUGGGAUGAAUAGAAGAUUUUUUUAAUUUGAAUUAAAUUGAGAAGGACAGGGAGAUGCUGGUUCUGCAAACAGAUCCAGAUGUUAUCACAGUGAGCAGCCAUGGUUCUUAUGCCAGAACUAAACAUGUCGUUUAGAAAAGCAAUGGGUCCAAAUCCAGAACCCUGUGGGACACCAACUGUGUGAAACUACCUGACAUAUAUCUAUAAAAACAUUUUAUGGUUUGUAAUCUCAGGUUAGAACAAGAUCAAUAAAAUCUCCAGAAACACUUGAA